rnacentral:rRNA from 1 species
GCGCAGCAGUCGCGAAAACUCCGCAAUACACGAAAGUGUGACGGGGCCAUCCCGAGUGCCGUCCGCUGAGGACGGCUUUUCCCCAGUGUAGACAGCUGGGGGAAUAAGGAGAGGGCAAGUCUGGUGUCAGCCGCCGCGGUAAUACCAGCUCUCCGAGUGGUGGGGACGCUUAUUGGGCCUAAAGCAUCCGUAGCCGGCUGGUCAAGUCCCCUGUUAAAUCCAGCGAUUCAAUCGUUGGACUGCGGAGGAUACUGUCCAGCUAGGGGCGGGAGAGGCCGACGGUAUUCCCGGGGUAGGGGUGAAAUCUUAUAAUCCCGGGAGGACCACCAGUGGCGAAGGCUGUCGGCUAGAACGCGCCCGACGGUGAGGGAUGAAAGCUGGGGGAGCGAACCGGAUUAGAUACCCGGGUAGUCC